AAGCAUGUCAAUUAAAAGUCUUUCCAUUAACUUUGUAAUUUAUUUUCCUAGUACCACAAUAAUCAACAUCGCAAAGAAAACUAAUAUCAUAUAUACCUUGAAAAACAUCCUGAACUUAAUCUUUCAUCAAUAAAAUACGUAUAUCUUUACAAAUCCACUCAUCCUCUCAACACUGCCUCCUACUACCAAACUUUCUAGGAUUUCAACUUCAACUAGAACAAAUAUUAGACAUUACAAAAUCAAACAUUAGAUAUAUGAAUAUUUCCCUAACAUUCAAGAUAUCCUUUCUCCUCCAAGUAAGAAACAACUUUUCCUGCC
rnacentral:lncRNA from 1 species